AUUGAACGCUGGCGGCAUGCUCUACACAUGCCAGUCGAACGGUAACAGGCCGCAAGGUGCUGACGAGUGGCGAACGGGUGAGUAAUGCAUCGGAGCGUGCCCAGUCGUGGGGGAUAACUACUCGAAAGAGUAGCUAAUACCGCAUACGAUCUAUGGAUGAAAGCGGGGGACCGUAAGGCCUCGCGCGAUUGGAGCGGCCGAUGUCAGAUUAGGUAGUUGGUGGGGUAAAGGCUCACCAAGCCAACGAUCUGUAGCUGGUCUGAGAGGACGACCAGCCACACUGGGACUGAGACACGGCCCAGACUCCUACGGGAGGCAGCAGUGGGGAAUUUUGGACAAUGGGCGCAAGCCUGAUCCAGCAAUGCCGCGUGCAGGAAGAAGGCCUUCGGGUUGUAAACUGCUUUUGUACGGAACGAAACGGCUCUGGUUAAUACCCGGGGCUAAUGACGGUACCGUAAGAAUAAGCACCGGCUAACUACGUG
rnacentral:rRNA from 1 species